GCUGACCACGGGGGUCAGAGAGUGGGUCCGUGAGCGGAAACCCCUCACCCUGCCUGAAGCAGUUCGCCUGGUGGACGAGUACACCGACGCCCGCAAGCUAGAUACCCUGGGGGCCAAGACAACAUCCCGUAUGGACUACAGACCAGUGACACCUCCUCUAGCUGCCACGCCACAGUCAUACCGUUCCACAGCACCAGCUUCCAC